CGCUGCUCCUCUUUCCCACGACCACAGUCGCCUCUCCCACGGCCACCACGGCGUCCCGCCUGCGCCGCCUUCCCAUUCUGGUGGGUAACCGUCGCCCCGUCUGGAAGAAGCGUUUGCCCCGCCGCGUGCUGCAGCCGUCGUGCCCGAACUCCCCAUCGUCACUCCGCGCGCCGGCGAGAUCCGAGGUGGAGAGAACCGAUAUCGCCAUCUUGAAAUCCCUCCACGCGCCGAACACGCUUGCCCCGCCGCGCUACAGGAGAUGGGCUGGAACUCUACACUGUCACUCCGCGCGCCGCUCAGAUCGGUGAUUGACAGAACCAGCGUCGGCAGCUCGACCUCCCUCCGCGCGCUGCGCACACCCGUCUCUCUGUAAACCAACUCCGAUGAGCCAGGGAUUGGGGCCACAACGCCAGCUAGCACAGUGGCAUGCCUGAGCCGAACGGAUCGACCAGAAAAUUCUAUAUAUUCUGAGCACCUCGAAGUUCGUAGAAUGUCCAUCUUUGACCUGAGACUCAGUUUUGGGGGUAAUUUCACAAUGGCUGCAUAUUUCUGAAAGUACAAGGAUAAGUACACUGGCUCUAUAUGCAUAGAUUCUUGUUUUGGGGCAAUUUCACAAUUGCUGCAUAUUUCUGAAGCUAAUGGGAGAAGUGGUUGGUCCCAUUUUGUUUAGCAACAGAUCUGAACAAUACUUAUUUCAAAAUUGGAGAAGUUACCAUGGCUCUUAUUUUUCGUGCUUAGAAGCCUAUGGUAACAAGUCAGCUCUCCCAAAAUAUAACCCUAUGCUCAUCUUACUAAACAUAGUUUUUGAACCAUUUGAAUUUCUAAAAUGUAUAUGAUUUUGCUGUCUCAGCUUUACAGAGCAAACAACUUUUUAUUUUCCUAAAAUCUAUUAAGAACCAAGCAACUAUCUUAUUCAUUUUUUUCUUGUAAAUAUGGAAAGGAAGUACUGUUAACAUAUUUUUUGGUUCAGCCGGAUAUUAGUUCUACCUCAGAUCCAGCAGUGGAUUAUUAUUUCUUAUAAAUGAUUUCUCUUUAGAUCAUUACCAGCAUGGAUGAACUUAUAAAUGAAUUUUCUGUAGAAAAAUCAGAUAAAGACCCGGUUAUUGUGUUGGAUUUUCUGAAGAAUAAAUGAAUGCCGCUGGAAGAUUAUAAAACUAAUUCAAAGAAUGACCUAUUGUACCACAAUUCAUGUUCUCAAAGUAUAUGAAGGAGGAUCGACAAUGAGGCCAAGUGGAGGUCUAAUCAACAGCCUAAUUCGAGUUGAUUGAGGAAAAUGAGUUGAUCCUAUCACUACUGUUUCCAAUGAUAUUGAUGAGUGUGUCAUCAAUGGCUAGGGCGAGGGGAGACGUUGAUGCCUCAGUUGUGUUUCUUUUCUCUUCCAAAUUUUGUUCAUUCUAACCUGCAAUAGUUCGUUUGCGGUGCUCAGUUACAUUAUGCCGUGGAUUUUAUUUUCGUUCUGUUAAAAAAUGUACUAUGUGUGCAUGCAAUAUUCAUUGAAAUCAAUUUUCCUUGUUGCUUCAGAUGUAGAGCCGUUUUCAGGCAAGGAGCGGGGUGGUACGCAGCAUUACAACAUAAGAAGGGGCUGUAGGGCGAGGCGAUGUGCACCAGCCAUCUGCGGCUGAAAGGAGUCAUGAGGCCGUCCAGACCACCUUGUGUCGUGCUUGCUCUGUUUCUGGUUGAAGGUUGAGGGACGGCACCGACGGAGCAAGGGUCAUCAAGCUGAGGGGUGAACACGGAGCUGGAGGUGGCACGCGCGGUGAAAGCUGCUAUGAGCUGGUGUAUUUCUGGUCCGAUCUGAUGCGAGUUCGCCGAUGCUUCUGGCUUCUGCCAUGCUACGGCCUGAUAUGAUGUUUCUUGCCUCUGCUUGGAUAAGAUGGGGUCACCGAUUGACAAGUUUUGAUCUGGUCCUAUAUGGUUCAGCUCUUUGUUCCUGUUUGUCUUAGAAGUAGAUUUUCAUGUUUUUUAAGCAUCACCAGAUGAUUAAGAGGUUUGGCACCCAGGUUUGUAUUCUUGAUGUUUUUUUUGCAGAUCUUCUGGAUGUGUUGACAUGACCAUGCACUCUGACAUGUUUUAUGUUCUAUUAAUUGUCUUGAUUUGUUA